rnacentral:rRNA from 1 species
AUUGAACGCUGGCGGCAGGCUUAACACAUGCAAGUCGAGCGAGCGGCGGACGGGUGAGUAAUGUCUGGGAAACUGCCUGAUGGAGGGGGAUAACUACUGGAAACGGUAGCUAAUACCGCAUACCAUCAGAUGUGCCCAGAUGGGAUUAGCUAGUAGGUGGGGUAAUGGCUCACCUAGGCGACGAUCCCUAGCUGGUCUGCGAGGAUGACCAGCAACACUGGAAUGGAGACACGGUCCAGACUCCUACGGGAGGCAGCAGUGGGGAAUAUUGCAAAAUGGGCGCAAGCCUGAUGCAGCCAUGCCGCGGGUAUGAAGAAGGCCGUAGGGUUGUAAAGUACUUUAAGCGGGGAGGCGUUACCCGCAGAAGAAGCACCGGCUAACUCCGUGCCAGCAGCCGCGGUAAUAC